rnacentral:misc_RNA from 1 species
AAGUCGUAACAAGGUUUCCGUAGGUGAACCUGCGGAAGGAUCAUUAACACGUAUCCAAACGUUAAACCCCCCUGUGAACCUUCAGUGUACUCGUACGUCCGUUAGAAAAAGCAGCAAUCCCUGGUAAAUCAUCGCCGAACAGUUUUCGAUUCAGGGACGUCUGCAAGGAGCGUGCAUGUUGUGCGAAGCAAGUGGCCUGGCAUCCCCAAGCAGUUAGUGUCUGAAAGUGUCAUUAACUGUGUAAGGAUGACGCAGUCACGAUCGUUGGAGGCCCACACGGCCGACGACCGGGUCACUGGGCGCAAGCCCCCCUAUAACGCAGUCGACAAAAAACCGAACAACUGUUAACAAUGGAUAUCUUGGUUCUC